rnacentral:rRNA from 1 species
AGGAGAUGGAUUCUGAGACACGAAUCCAGGCCCUACGGGGUGCAGCAGGCGCGAACACUUUACAAUGCGGGAAACCGCGAUAAGGGAACCCCGAGUGCCAGCAUCAAAUGUUGGCUGUCCAGAUGAUUAAAAAUCAUUUGUUAGCAAGGGCCGGGCAAGACCGGUGCCAGCCGCCGCGGUAACACCGGCGGCCCGAGUGGUAGCCGUUUUUAUUGGGUCUAAAGGGUCCGUAGCCGGCCUGAUAAGUCCUUUGGGAAAUCUGGCAGCUUAACUGUCAGGCUUCUAAGGGAUACUGUCAGGCUUGGGACCGGAAGAGGUAAGGGGUACUCCAGGGGUAGGAGUGAAAUCUUGUAAUNCCCUGGGGGACCAUCUGUGGCGAAGGCGCCUUACCAGAACGGGUCCGACGGUGAGGGACGAAAGCUAGGGGAGCAAACCGGAUUAGAUACCCGGGUAGUCCUAGCUGUAAACGAUGCUCGCUAGGUGUCAGACACGGUGCGACCGUGUUUGGUGCCGNCAGGGAAGCCAUUAAGCGAGCCACCUGGGAAGUACGGUCGCAAGGCUGAAACUUAAAGGAAUUGGCGGGGGAGCAC